ACCGAUGCCAUGGUAACGCGUUGGAAAACAAAACGGCUCUCGUCAGUGAAUGUUUGUUUUUUUCUCACAAUCAAAACUCCUAUAUAGUUAUUUCUAACCUUGUUGGUAAUUAAAAUUGUCUGUAGCUGUUGUCGCUGAUGCUUUGUUUUUCUGGUUUUUUACCUCAAUAAUUAUUAUUAAUAACGAUUAAUAAUGAGUGACAGUUGGCGGCAAACAAUGAUGAACAUUACUGAUCGUAUAUUUCCAUCUCUUCCGCCUGAAGAAAAAGUCGGGUCAGCUUUUGGUAACGAGAUUGUAUCUAGUCUCCCAUUGCAAAUGUCACUGCAUUUUAACAUAGUAUACUUCCCAUUUUGGCUUUAUACAUUCUUAUCAUUGAUUUCGUUUAAAUUGAGUUGUUUAAGCAUGUUGAUCCAAAUUAUAAUUUCCGUGUCGUUAUUUUUAAUAUUGAUUCUAGAAUGCGCUCGAUUGUACUUGGGUGUUCAAGGAAAUCUCAAUGAAAAAAUUCCGGAUUUGGCCGCAUUUUGGAUGUUUUCGUUGAUACUCCAGUUACCUCUACAGUUAGUAUUCUUGUGUCUGAAUACUAUGCCUGUUGAAAUUGCUGUUCACGGUAUUAUGUGCGUUUUACUCUUGUCACAACUCAUUUUUGGGUUCAUUGUCCUACGUGACAUGGCAAAACAUCACAAGCUCCGUUUUCAUAUAUCACAAUUCUAUUGCAGCCAGCACAGCAAAACUGAAUGAACCAACAAUUUAAAAUUUGCUAUUUUAUGUUCCAGAUAAAAAUAUCAUUUUAAUUAAUUCAAGGGUCUUAUAAUAUUUAGUUAUGGGUUUUCAAUUUUCAAAACAUUUAAUUAAUGCAAUUACAUCAAGUAUUUUUGUAUGAAUUUAAUAGUAUUUUAUAUACCUAUUCAUAAUUGAUGAGUCGUAUAUUAUCGCAUUUUCGCAAAAGAAAAACAAAUGUUUAAAAAUGUUUUUGGUUCGGAUUUUUUGUGUAUGCGGACGAUAUUUGCAAAUCAGAUGGCAUCGCAGUGCAACAAAAGAACUUUGUUAAAGGCGAGUUAACGACCGAAAGAGGUAAAUGAGUCGAGAGAAGGACUGGUCGGGCAUAUUCAAACACCAGAUGGAAGAGAUAAUAGAAUAUUACGCGGAAACACAGAAGUAUUUAAUAUAAUAUUAUACAUGUGCGGUAUGUGUUCCAAGGGACGUUUUAAGGGUUAAACCAUUGUCUAGGGACUCCGGGAUACGCCAGUGCGCCGUUUGUCUUAUAGUUGUGAGCGCCAUAUCUCCGCGUGUAUAAUAUAAUGAAAGUUAAUGAGGCUGAAAUGCAGAUUGCAAAGCAAGACGGUACCGUUUUCGCUGAUUAAUGGCUCCCCGUUCGCGGAGGAAACAAUGCGAUAAUAACUUUAUUACGCCGGACGAACAAGUCGUGUCGCUCAGGAAAUCCAGCCCAGAGUGUGUUAUCUGGUCUCCCGAGAUCUAUCUUAUGUUGUAAUCGCAUUGAUAUAAUAUAAUACAAUACUCUGACAGACAUCGGUUUGUUUCCAAUACUAUAAUAUAGCAUAUUAUAAAUUACCGUGAUGUAUACAGUUACAAUAUAUUAAUAUAUCUUAAUACUAAUAAUAUUUUUUUCCUUUGUUAUAUACUUAUAUGUAAGUAGGUACAUAACUUGAAAUAUUUCAAUAAAGAGGAAAACAUUUCACUCAUAUUUAUUUUGAUUAUUUAAAUAUUUCUUUUAGACAUCAUUAUAUGCCCACGUGGCCAUGUAUUAAUAUUAAUGUUAUAAUAUUGUAUGUAUAGAAAUAGAAUAAUUAUAAUAAUAUAGAAUCUAUACCUAUUAUAGAUACUUUCAUUGAACAUAAAAAGUGCUGUCAUUUUUAUCUCAUUUUUAUUUAGUAAUUUUUUUAGAUUACCAAAUAUCAAACAACUGAGAAAGAAGAAUGAAUUGUUUUUUCAAUGAUGUGAUGGGUUAAAAAUUGUUUACUUAUUAUUACCUUUUGGAACAAAAAAAAAAAUUUUCAAUCUUUGACUUUGAGGGAGAUAUUUUUGUAGAAAUUUGGAUCAAGGCGGCUUCAAUUUUUCAUCAAAUAUUUGUAAAAGUGGGUAAAUCAAUGCUGUGCGUUCUUGUGCCAAUCGAUGAAUCUGGAUGACUAGAUAAAUAGGUGUAUAGAAUUACAGUGAAAGUUCCACAUGACGAAGUCUCGCGGGGAACAAAAAGUAUAGUAUAGAGAAAUUCGUUGAAUAAUAAUGAUUAAUAUAUAUAUAUAUAUAUGAAUAUG